rnacentral:rRNA from 1 species
AGAGUUUGAUCCUGGCUCAGAACGAACGCUGGCGGCAGGCCUAACACAUGCAAGUCGAACGGGUGCCUUCGGGCACUAGUGGCGGACGGGUGAGUAACGCGUGGGAACGUGCCCUUUGGUUCGGAAUAGCCUCGGGAAACUGGGAGUAAUACCGGAUAAGCCCUUCGGGGGAAAGAUUUAUCGCCAAAGGAUCGGCCCGCGUUGGAUUAGGUAGUUGGUGGGGUAAUGGCCUACCAAGCCGACGAUCCAUAGCUGGUUUGAGAGGAUGAUCAGCCACACUGGGACUGAGACACGGCCCAGACUCCUACGGGAGGCAGCAGUGGGGAAUCUUAGACAAUGGGGGAAACCCUGAUCUAGCCAUGCCGCGUGAUCGAUGAAGGCCUUAGGGUUGUAAAGAUCUUUCAGUGGGGAAGAUAAUGACGGUACCCACAGAAGAAGCCCCGGCUAACCCCGUGCCAGCAGCCGCGGUAAUACGGAGGGGGCUAGCGUUGUUCGGAAUUACUGGGCGUAAAGCGCACGUAGGCGGACCGGAAAGUCAGAGGUGAAAUCCCAGGGCUCAACCUUGGAACUGCCUUUGAAACUCCUGGUCUUGAGGUCGAGAGAGGUGAGUGGAAUUCCGAGUGUAG